rnacentral:rRNA from 1 species
CCUACGGGUGGCAGCAGUGGGGGAUAUUGGACAAUGGGGGCAACCCUGAUCCAGCGACGCCGCGUGAGGGAAGAAGUAUUUCGGUAUGUUAAGCUCUAUUAGCAGGGAAGAAAGAAAUGACGGUACCUGAGUAAGAAGCCCCGGCUAACUACGUGACAGCAGCCGGGGUAAUACGUAGGGGGCAAGCGUUAUCCGGAAUUCAUGGGUGUAAAGGGUGCGUAGGCGGUAAUGCAAGCCUGGAGUGAAAGGCGGGGGCCCAACCCCCGGACUGCUCUGGAAACUGUGUAACUGGAGUGCAGGAGAGGCAGGCGGAAUGCGUGGUGUAGCGGUGAAAUGCAUAGAUAUUAGGAGGAACACCAGUGGCGAAGGCGGCAUGUUGGAUUGUAACUGACGUUGAGGCUCGAAAGCGUGGGGAGCGAACAGGAUUAGAUACCCCUGUAGUC